AUGCAGAGGGAGCUCCUGCAGUUCCUGGGGUCACCGUCGCUCGGUGACCUGCAACGCACCGCGGCAACCGCGACCAAGCUUGUCGGCAAGCUCGGCGGCCUGACGCGGACGUGCGGCGUCCGGAUCGACCAGAGUUGGCCGCCCACACCGGAGUUCAUGGUGGCCGCCGCAUCUUCCGGCUGCGGCACUGCCUCUAAGCCUCUAAGGUGUCCAUUGACUUCUUGGACGCAAAGCAAGCGAGGCGGCAACGUCCUCCCUGCCGGCUCCGUCAACUUGACGACGGCGGUGGCCCUCGUCGACGCACUCGACUUCAAAGGGACGUGGUCCCAACUGUUCGAGCCUGUCGCGGCAGCACGUCGCCAUCUUCCCUCGCUUCAGGACUCUGAAGCUGCCCCUACUACUGCAACAAGAACGAUGACGACGUGCAGCAAGCAACCGCAUUCUACAUGCUUCUAUUUCUCCCGGACAUCACCGCCGUCAGCGUCAAGCUCGCUGAUCUCUACAGCAACAUCGUCUUGA
rnacentral:rRNA from 1 species